AUUGAACGCUGGCGGCAGGCCUAACACAUGCAAGUCGAGCGAGCGGCGGACGGGUGAGUAAUGUGUGGGAAACUGCCUGAUAGAGGGGGAUAACUACUGGAAACGGUAGCUAAAACCGCAUACCAUCGGAUGUGCCCAGAUGGGAUUAGCUAGUAGGUGGGGUAACGGCUCACCUAGGCAACGAUCCCGAGCUGGUCUGAGAGGAUGACCAGCCACACGGGAACUGAGACACGGUCCAGACUCCUACGGGAGGCAGCAGUGGGGAAGAUUGCACAAUGGGGGCAAGCCUGAUGAAGCCAUGCCGCGUGUAUGAAGAAGUCCUUCGGGUUGGAAAGUCCGUUCAGCGGGGAGGCGUUACCCGCAUAAGAAGCACCGGCUAACUCCGUGCCAGCAGCCGCGGUAAUAC
rnacentral:rRNA from 1 species